UUUUCAUCAAGAGUGGCGGAGGGACUGGCCCUUUGAAACCCGGCAACCUACCUAUAAGGUAAGGUGCUAAAUCCUGCAUUUCAAAGAAAUGAUAGAUGAGAG
rfam:Halanaerobium kushneri strain ATCC 700103 genome assembly, contig: Ga0104713_115